UCCCGGUUAACCCGGGCAGUCUCAUUAGAGUUCCCACCUUCACGUGUUGGCAACUAAUGAUAAGGGUUGCGCUCGUUGCGGGACUUAACCCAACACCUCACGGCACGAGCUGACGACAGCCAUGCAGCACCUGUGCAGAUGCCCCGAAGGGAACAUACAUUUCUGUAUGCGUCAUCUGCAUGUCAAGCCUGGGUAAGGUUCUUCGCGUUGCAUCGAAUUAAACCACAUGCUCCACUGCUUGUGCGGGUCCCCGUCAAUUCUUUUGAGUUUCACCCUUGCGAGCGUACUCCCCAGGCGGUAUACUUAUCGCGUUAGCUUCGGCACAACUAGGGUUGAGUCCAGUUACACCAAGUAUACAUCGUUUACAGCAAGGACUAC
rnacentral:misc_RNA from 1 species